UGCAGCCUUGUCAAAUUCAGUGCGUUCUUUUUGGUGAACGCCACUGGCCAAAAUGGCUGCCACACUGAGUGUAGUUCAUGGGCCCCGCCUCCUGAUAACGUGGGCAGCGGGGAUAAAUAUGUACUACUGACAACU